UUAACUCAAAUCUGUAUAGAGUUGGAACAUUUGCCUAUGUUUGCCGCUAGGGGCGCUGUUCCAAUUACAUACACAUUUUAGUUA
rfam:Bombyx mori DNA, contig: Bm_scaf24_contig16090, strain: p50T/Dazao, build 2, whole genome shotgun sequence.